rnacentral:tRNA from 1 species
AGAGAAGUAAUUUAACUAAAAUAUGAGGUUUCAAACUUUAAUAUGCAUUAAUCGCUGCCUUCUCUG